UACGAAGGUGGCAAGCGUUGUUCGGAUUUACUGGGCGUACAGGGUGCGUAGGCGGUUGGGUAAGCCCUCCGUGAAAUCUCCGGGCCUAACCCGGGAAGUGCGGAGGGGACUGCUCGGCUAGAGGAUGGGAGAGGAGCGCGGAAUUCCCGGUGUAGCGGUGAAAUGCGUAGAGAUCGGGAGGAAGGCCGGUGGCGAAGGCGGCGCUCUGGAACAUUUCUGACGCUGAGGCUCGAAAGCGUGGGGAGCAAACAGG
rnacentral:rRNA from 1 species